GAUUUCUGGUAUGAUGCGCUUGUCCCGUCUAGAAAUAGCUCGUGUGGCACCGCGCGUCUACCAUCCUUCGCUACGGAUGUGCUGGCCUGUCAAAGGGUCCGCUGCCGUUGUGAUCUUUUACUUUGAAAAAAUUAGAGUGUUUAAAGCAGGCUUGUGCCUUGAAUACAUUAGCAUGGAAUAAUAAUAUAGGACUGGGUUCCUAUUUUGUUGGUUUUCUGGAAUCGAGUAAUGAUUGAUAGGGAUAGUUGGGGGUGCUAGUAUUCAGCGGCCAGAGGUGAAAUUCUUUGAUUCGCUGAAGACUAACUUAUGCGAAAGCAUU
rnacentral:rRNA from 1 species